UAUUGAUAUGUAUGUAGUCAGUAGCAGGAAAACCUAGAUACAUAUACAUGUCAUGUGGAUAUGCAGUGAGAGACAGGCAGAGCCAGGCAGUGAGAGACAGGCAGAGCCAGGCAGAGCCAGGCAGUGAGAGACAGGCAGAGACAGGCAGAGA